GAUGAACGCUGGCGGCGUGCCUAACACAUGCAAGUCGAGCGAACGGACGAGAAGCUUGCUCCUCUGAUGUUAGCGGCGGACGGGUGAGUAACACGUGGAUAACCUACCUAUAAGACUGGGAUAAUUUCGGGAAACCGGAGCUACUACCGGAUAAUAUUUUGAACUGCAUGGUUCAAAAGUUAAAGACGGUCUUGCUGUCACUUAUAGAUGGAUCCGCGCUGCAUUAGCUAGUUGGUAAGGUAACGGCUUACCAAGGCAACGAUGCAUAGCCGACCUGAGAGGGUGAUCGGCCACACUGGAACUGAGACACGGUCCAGACUCCUACGGGAGGCAGCAGUAGGGAAUCUUCCGCAAUGGGCGAAAGCCUGACAGAGCAACGCCGCGUGAGUGAUGAAGGUCUUCGGAUCGUAAAGCUCUGUUAUUAGGAAAGAACAUAUGUGUAAGUAACUGUGCACAUCUUGACGGUACCUAAUCAAAAAGCCACGGCUAACUACGUG
rnacentral:rRNA from 1 species